rnacentral:misc_RNA from 1 species
AAAGUCGUAACAAGGUUUCCGUAGGUGAACCUGCGGAAGGAUCAUUAAAAUGGUGAAAAUAGUCAUGUGGGGUGACGGGGAUUGGCGAGGGUUAGGGUGGCGGUUGGGAGACGGUUGGCAUUGGGCGACGGAUUGAUCAAAUCAAACAUGUCUGAUACGCAAAUAUCAAAUACAACUUUUAACAAUGGAUCUCUAGGCUCUU